rnacentral:rRNA from 1 species
UUGGAGGGCAAGUCUGGUGCCAGCAGCCGCGGUAAUUCCAGCUCCAAUAGCGUAUAUUAAAGUUGUUGCAGUUAAAAAGCUCGUAGUUGAAUUUCGAGACUGGUUUAUUGGUCGUGCUUUUGUACGUACUGGUAUUAUUGGUUUCUCCUUUCUGACGAAUCAUAAUGCCAUUAAUUUGGUGUUUUGGGGAAUCAGGACUGUUACUUUGAAAAAAUUAGAGUGUUUAAAGCAGGCUCACGCUUGAAUACAUUAGCAUGGAAUAACGGAAUAGGACGUUUGAUUCUAUUUUGUUGGUUUCUAGGAUCGACGUAAUGAUUAAUAGGGAUAGUUGGGGGCAUUAGUAUUCAAUUGUCAGAGGUGAAAUUCUUGGAUUUAUUGAAGACUAACUACUGCGAAAGCAUUUGCCAAGGAUGUUUUCAUUAAUCAAGAACGAAAGUUAGGGGAUCGAAGACGAUCAGAUACCGUCGUAGUCUUAACCAUAAACUAUGCCGACUAGGGAUCGGAUGAUGUUAAUUUUUUAAUGACUCAUUCGGCGCCUUACGGGAAAC